AGCGAACGCUGGCGGCAGGCUUAACACAUGCAAGUCGAGCGGGCACUUCGGUGCUAGUGGCAGACGGGUGAGUAACACGUGGGAACGUACCUUUCGGUUCGGAAUAAUUCAGGGAAACUUGGACUAAUACCGGAUACGCCCUUCGGGGAAGAUUUAUCGCCGAUAGAUCGGCCCGCGUCUGAUUAGCUAGUUGGUGAGGUAAUGGCUCACCAAGGCGACGAUCAGUAGCUGGUCUGAGAGGAUGAUCAGCCACAUUGGGACUGAGACACGGCCCAA
rnacentral:rRNA from 1 species